rnacentral:lncRNA from 1 species
GAUGCCCAAAAUGUUAGCUUUAAGGGCAGUGCAAAGACAGGCUGCAGCCUGAAGAUCAGUUAGGCCUUCUAGAAGUGAGCAACAAGGGGCCACCGGUGGUUGACCCAAUUUUAUAUUUAGUAACCCAUUUAGGACAUUGGCACAUACACCAAGUUUUAGUGUAUCACUGGGACAUGAGCCACUUGAAGGGGUUGGUUUUGGACUUGGGUUGGGUUUUGGACUUGGGUUGGGCUUUGGGUUUGGGUUUGGCUUUGGCUUUGGAGUUGGGCUGGGCUUUGGGUUUGGGUUUGGAUUUGGGUUGCAUGAACAAGAUCCAGAAGCUGAAACAAGUGAAAAGAAGAGGAGGUUGAGUGUGAAGAAAAGAGCAAGUGUGGAACAAGUUUUGGAAGCCAUCUUAAACUCUUGUAGUAGCUAACAAGUGUUAAUGUUUUCUUCAACUAACUUGCAAAUACAAACUUAGAGAAGAAAGUGGAUGUGAAGAUGAUAAUUGUUUGGUGGUAAUUGGGGUUUAUAUAGUGUAUUUGUUUUUGGAAUUGGAACUCCAAGUGGGUAGGGUGGGGUGAGUUGUGUAGGAACUAAUUAAACGGGGUUGAGAUAAAUUAAGCUCUCAGAACACCCACAAAAAUAUAUGUUGCUAUCUCAUUUGGUUAUUUAAAUAUUUAUUUCCUCUCAUAUAUAAUUCAAAAAAUAUUAUUAAUUAAUACUCACCAAUAACUUAAUAUUACUAUGCUUAACAAUAUGAGUAAAAAAAAUAACAUUUUUUUAUGAGUAAAACAAAAUACAACCGGUAAAAAACAACAUUUCAUUAGACGUCCAUUCAAAUAAACACCACAUUUUUAAGACCACAGAUAAAUUACCUAUAUAAUCCGGUGCUCAAUAUGGAAGCAAGCUUUGUUUUGAUUCUGUUAUAAACAUCAACAAAAUUUCUCUUCUUUUUUCAUUCAUCGGAAAGAGUCGUUUUAAAUUAUUUUUUGAUUCAGAAUUAUAUUUGUGCUUUUUUUCUCUAUUUAAUUUAAAUAAAUCAUGUCUAGACGAAGUAGAUUUUUUUUUGUAUUUUUUUUUGUUGUUGUGAUAUUGUCAUUUCAAAUUGACGUUGUUUGAUUUUCCAUCUUGGUGCGGUAAUUGUUUGAUUUACCAUAUUAUUACAAUGCUUAUUUGAUUUAGAUUGAUAGAUCAACUUCAAUCAAUUAUUGAUUCAAAUUUUUAGAUUAUCAACGUUGCAAAUUCAUAAAUACAAGUAUUUUGAUCAUUUAAUUUUAUCAAAUUAUUUAUAUACAUUAUAUAUUUUUGUUUUAUGUUAUUAACUUAAAUAUUAUGAGUAUAUUCACAAAUUUAUCUUUAUUUUUUAUUUUUUGCGAUGUUAAAUUUGAAUUGAUAACUUACUUACUUAAUUAAUUUAAAUGAAUAAAUAUUUAUAUAAACCAUUUAAAAGCACAUAAUAUAUACGUGAAUUAUAGCUAUAGCUGUCAGAGUAUAUGCCCUUAAAAUAGGUUUUGGAUACUUGUGUGCUGAUGUGCGACUGACAUCAAUCAAAAGCGUCUAUUAUAAAGAUUUUGAUUAUAUUCACCUCUCACACACACACAUAUAUACAUACAUAUAUAUAUAUAUAUAUAUAUAUAUAUAUAUAUAUAUAUAUAAAAUCUUAACCAAAGAUAUAAAAAUGGUUUUCUUUUUUCUUUACAAUAAUUAAGCAAAGAUGAUGGUAUGAGUGCUAGAAACAUUUUUUUGGGCAUUUCUUUAACAUUCACUUUGUUAUAGGUGAAAUUUAUGAGUUUUAUUAUUUUAUGUGAGAUUAUUUUUAAAGAGUAGGAUUCAAAAUAAUUUUAUUUAAUUAAAGAGUGAAUAUUGAGAAGAAAGUAUUUUCAACACUUUCUCACUUUUUAAUGGUAAAUAAUCUUUUAAAAAAAUUCAAUUAUACUGAUCACAUCACAUCUAUGGAUAUAAAUAAUUAUUUAAAAAUUCAAAAUUUAAGUUUGAUAUGUAGUGUGAUAUAUGUUUAUUUAUUAGAAAUGAGUUUGAUUUUGAUAUAUUUAAAAGUCAUAUUUUAUUUUAAUAUAUUUGAAUAAAUAAUUAGACAUAUCUUCAAAUAGAAUAAUAAACUAACAUAUUAAUUAAAUUAAUUUUUAUUUUGAGGUUUACCAUGAAAAUUUAAAAAAUCUAACUUUUAUGACAUUCUACGUCAAUUUUAUUUUAUAAUAAUACAUUAUAUAUGUUAAAAAUUAAAAAAAAAAUUGAUAUGCUUAAAUUAUUAAAAAUUCAAUAUAUAACAAAAAAAUUAAAUUUUAAUAUAAUAAUUAGUAAUAAUAAUAAAAUAUUAUUUAUAUAUUUAUUUAAAUAAGUCAAUUUAAUAACUCUAACAAAUAUUUUAUGUGAUUUAUAAUAUAACAUUUUUAGUUAAAUGAGUAUUUUUAGAAGUCUUGAUCUUACCAAUUAAAAAAUUAAAAAAAUUGUCUCAUAUGAGUCAAACGAAAGCUAUAGCAUAGAUCCUUAUUAAUUGGUGUGACCUAUCCACUCCAUUUUAAUGCACUCCAUUUUGAAAGAUUCAUUUGCAAAAAAAUUUCUCAAAAUGAGUACCUUUUAAUUUGUAAUAUAAUAUUUUAUAUUUUUUCAAUAGUUAAUAGAAAUCAUUUAUUUUUUUGUUUACGAAAAUAAAUUUAUUGCAUAUCAUUUAAAAUAAGUUCAAUAAUACAAGAUAUGGAAUAUGAUUAAAAGCUUGGUGACUAUCAUAAAAAUGAGAUGGAUAUAUUAACUGAUAAGUCACUCGAUUAACUAACCACAAAUUUAUUAUUUUGUUUCAUAAUUUGUUGGCAGCUUCUAAUAAGGUCACCAUAUUCAAUACUAUUGCUCCCGUUAUCAUCUGUAUUAUCUACAACAACAACACAGUCUAUUUCAAAAAGAGUGGUUUAAUAAGAAAAUAAUCCUUUUAAUUAUAUAAUUUUUUAACUUAAUUUAUAGAAAAUAAUCAAAUAAAUCACUUAAUCCAAGACAAAUAAUGUAGUGUUUAGUUGAAUGAAAAAGAACAAUUGGGGAUGAAAACUCGAUUCUCAAAACCUUAUUGGUGUGAUGAAUGAGAAAACAUGGAAAGAGAAGGAAAUAUGAUAUUGGGCCCCACAUGUGAUCAAUUCCUCCAAAUUGGACAAGGAUUAAGAAUUAGCAUAUGGGUCCUGGCAUUUGGUUUUUUGUUGUUACUUUUUUUUAUUCAAUAUUUUAUUUUAUUUAUUAUUAUUAUUUUGCUUUUAUCAACCAAAAGAGAAAAUAUACGUUUUUUUUUUAAUCUUAUAGACUCUCGUGUGUCAUAAAACAAUAAAAACUAAUAUUAUUCUAUAAUAAAAUAUAAAUAAAAAAUAUUUAAAAAAUUAAUUUUUCUAAUUUUUUCUAACAAAAUACAUUAAUUUCUCUUAUAUUCUUUUCGCUUAUAUUUUAAUCUAAAUAGAUUAUCUUAUUUAUUUUAUUUUUAUUCAAUAUAAGAAAAUAAAAUAAACAUUUUAAAAUUAUUAAGAUUGUUUAAAAAAAAUUGUAUUGUAUGAUAAUUAAUUCUUUUUGUAAUAUAUUUUAUUUUUAUUCUUUUAUUUUUUUUAUCAAUUAAAGAGAUGAUAAAUAUUAUAAUAAAUUUACACACAACUAUUAAAUCAUGCGUUUAGAUAUCAGAUAAAAUAUUAACUUAAUAAUAUUAAUAUUUAUUAAUUAAUUUAAGACUUAACAACUAUUUUUUAUCGUCUUUGUAAUAUUCAAUUUAAAUUUUAGGUAAUUUUUCCAUUCUGCAUAUGUUUUAUUGUCCUCUUAUAUAUUAUCUAUUGAAUUAAGUCAGGAAAGUGAAUUUCUCCUUCAUAUAUGUUUCUCUCUUGCAAUAUUAACCCAAAUAAAGUUUUUCUCUCACAAACCAAUAAAAUGUAUCUCUUUCCAUAUUUUGUUUUUUUGGUCUACUUUAAUAUCUUUCUCUUCCUUUCCGCUUACUAUCUUUACAAAACCAAACAAAGGCUAGGAGUCAAUAUUUACUUUCUAUAUAGAGAGAUACACUAACUUUUUUUAAAUAAAAAGACAACAAUUAUACUGUUGAAUAAAAAGGUAGUCUUAGAAAUAUUUAGAAAGAAAUAAACACUCGUAAAACUUUGUCAAUCAAUACUCAUAAAAUAAGCACACAUAUUUAAUCGUAAAAAAUAUAAGAACGAUACGUAAAAUAUCUAUAAAAACAAAUAUUUAAGUUUUGUCUGGUAUUUUUUUAGUAUUUUUUAUUGGUUUUGUUGUUAUCUUGUGAUUCCUUUCAAGAUAGGAAUGUAUAAAUAUAUAUUAUGUAUGUAAUAAACCUCAGCUAUAUUUUUCCUAACAAAAGUAAGUUUUCUCUUCUUCAUUCAUUUGAGAAGUGAUUUUGAACAUUUUUUUACCUGAAACUUAUAAUGAUUUUUAUAUAGAUUUAGUAGUUUAUUUUUUGUAAAAAAAAAAUUCAGUAGUACGCUAUAAGUGUAUAACACGUGGAAUCGUUGUUUACUUGAUUUCAUGUAUUUUUAGUUUUUUUAUUUUACUUCUAAUCAACUUUUAGUCUCUUUAAAAUUGAAUUUUUGGCCCUCUCUUUUAUAAUUUGUGGAAUUUUGUUUGUCCUCCUCCAAUUUUUUUUUAUGAUACAAUAAUCUCAAUAGUGACAUAAUAAAAAUGAGUUACAACUAAAUUGAAUAAAAUAGAAUUAAGUUCCACAUUUUUCUCUUUUUUUCUGUAAUAUGUUUUAUGUUACUACUAAUAAAGACGUUUGUGAAAUUUUGUCGAAUAAAAAAUAGUAAAACAAAUAUUAAUUAAUGUUAUAAGUUUAAUAUUAUACAAUUUAGUAGUGUUAUAUCACUAACACAUCAUUAAUAAACAUACAACAUCAUAAAAAAUAGAGUAAUAUCAAUAAAAUUCCACGAAUUGUAGACACGAAAAAUAAAAAACUAAUUUUAAAAAUAAAUAACUAAAAGUUAAUAAUAUUAUAAGUGAGGUAAAGCCGUCAAUCUCCUUGUUAUUCAAUUCCUUUCACUCUAACCAGAGCAACCUUGUAUUCCAAUUUAAUAGGUUAUACUAUUGUUAUUUGUUUGUUCUCGCUAGUUGUGUGUCAUUUGCAUCACAAAGUCUUAAGUGUUGAAAAAAAAGCAGAUAAGCCUACUUUUUUUGAGUGGAACCUAUCCUCAUUUGUCAAAAAAAGAAACUAGGUGCCUGGCAAAAAUAAAAUAUAAGCUUAUCCAAAUUCGAUUUCUGACCGUAAUAAUAUUUGACAAAACUUUAUCUAUAACUUAACUUUAAAUUAUUGAAUUUACUAUCACAAUAUAUAUAUUAAUUAAAUUUAAAUCAUCUAACGUUUUUAUUUAAAAGAACCAAAAUAAAAUUAUUCAAAACAACUUCUAGAUCUGCUAGAAGAACAAGCGAGUAAAAUUGAUUCAUAAUAAACUUGUUUAUUAUAAUUUACUUAUAACAUCUAAUUUAAUUUUUUAUAUAUUAUUUAUUUUAUGUUUAAAAUGAGUUAUUUACUUUAAUCCUAAAUUCAUGAUUUUUGUUGAGAGAGAAGCGAACAUAUACAGUACUCAUAACUAAUUACUAAUUAGCCAAAAACUUCAUUCUUAUGUUAAUCCCUAUCUAAGUAUGCAUAGAAGCAAACAAGAGUACAAAUAAAUUGAACAAACAUAAUAUUAUAUAUGCAACUGGUGUAGCACCAUCCAUGCCCCUUUGUAAAAGUAGAUAAUUAGAGAAAAAAUUAAAUUAUUCAAGAUUAAAUUCCUUAUAAAAUCUCACAAUUUUAUUUUUAAUUUUUAUAAAAUAAUUUAUAAAUUUUUAAUUCAUAAUUUUAAUUUAACUAUUAUCUAUUCUUCAAAUUUUUAAAUGUUUUUUUGUACUAAUAUUAAAAAAAUUCUACUUUUUAACAAGCAAUAAAUGAAAUAUGAAUUUAUAAGUCUCGAAGUUUAAAAAUUUAUUUUAAAAAAUUUUAGAUUUUUGUAAGGUAGUUAAAUAUAUCUUAAAUAUUACUAAAAUUAUUAUUAAAAAAUUCAAAUAAUUGGUUUAAAAUUAAAAAUAUAUAUAUAUAUAAAUAAGAAACUUCAAAGUACUAAAUGUUGAUAAAUUAAUUUUGUAAAUAUGAAAAAUAAAAUAAUAAAAAAAUAAAAAAAUUUAUUUAACUUUUUAAUUUAUAUAUACCAUCAAUUUAAUUUUUUUUAUAUACUAUUUAAUUAAUACAAUUAUAAAAUAAUUAAAAACAUUUAAUUUUUAUUAUAAUUAUUUAUAAAGUGAUAUACAUGCUUAAUUAUAAUAUAUUAAGUGUACGGUGCAUCAAAAUUAAACCUAUCCGCAAAAUUAAUCCAAAACAUUUUUUUGAACCAUUAAGUCCAAAAUUUUAACGCGUGACAUUCUGAGUUAGGAACCGUUCCACAUUCUUAUAUUCCUUUUAAUCCUUCUCGACAUGUCUAUUAUUAUUGACUUAAAUAUUUUCUUCAAAUAGAUCCAUUUCAGAUCAGCCUGUGACCUUGAGUGCUAAUUAUUACUUUUAAAAGCAAAAUAAAAGUUUUCCACGCGUUUGGAUCAUGGCAUAAUUGGCAUGUUAUCGGUGGAAGUUAUUCAGCUAAGACAAUUUUUCUUUUUAUAAUAUGAUGAGGAUGGUGAUAAUUUUUUUUGUUGAGGCAAUUAUGAUAAUUUUAUGAAGUAUAUAUGGACAAAUUAGAUUCACGGGCAUGGUUUGACUAAAAUGGGCUCCACAUGUACUUUCCUAAAGUUUAUUCAGCUCGCAAACAUCUGGCCGAAAAUUUCGAUCUUAAAAUAGUUAAUUUGUGUGAACACAAAUGUACAUAAUUGAUUAUUGAUUACGAGAUUAAGAUAUAGUAUCAAGAUUUGUUUUUGUUUUCUGCCAAAAACAAAAAUAUUGUCUACGUUUAAUCAUUAAACCGUCAUUCAGUUAAAUAAUAAGUUCGUUAGAUAAAAAUUGAGCAACAUCAAACUGCUUUUAGAGUAACCAGCUUAAUAAAAAUGAGGUUGUUACAUAUUGGGGAUAUCAUGUUGUAAGUGUACAUUUUUUUUUUCACCAGGCACCAGGCAAUAUUGUAAGUGUAAUUGUUUUUUUUUUUUUGCAGCAGGCAAGAUUGGGGAUAUCAUUGUUUCACUUCUUGUGCCAAUUGGAUUUGAUAAAUUUUGUUGUUUAAAAAAACAAUUUAUUAUAAUUAUUUAUAAAGUGAUAUACAUGCUUAAUUAUAAUAUAUUAAGUGUACGGUGCAUCAAAAUUAAACCUAUCCGCAAAAUUAAUCCAAAACAUUUUUUUGAACCAUUAAGUCCAAAAUUUUAACGCGUGACAUUCUGAGUUAGGAACCGUUCCACAUUCUUAUAUUCCUUUUAAUCCUUCUCGACAUGUCUAUUAUUAUUGACUUAAAUAUUUUCUUCAAAUAGAUCCAUUUCAGAUCAGCCUGUGACCUUGAGUGCUAAUUAUUACUUUUAAAAGCAAAAUAAAAGUUUUCCACGCGUUUGGAUCAUGGCAUAAUUGGCAUGUUAUCGGUGGAAGUUAUUCAGCUAAGACAAUUUUUCUUUUUAUAAUAUGAUGAGGAUGGUGAUAAUUUUUUUUGUUGAGGCAAUUAUGAUAAUUUUAUGAAGUAUAUAUGGACAAAUUAGAUUCACGGGCAUGGUUUGACUAAAAUGGGCUCCACAUGUACUUUCCUAAAGUUUAUUCAGCUCGCAAACAUCUGGCCGAAAAUUUCGAUCUUAAAAUAGUUAAUUUGUGUGAACACAAAUGUACAUAAUUGAUUAUUGAUUACGAGAUUAAGAUAUAGUAUCAAGAUUUGUUUUUGUUUUCUGCCAAAAACAAAAAUAUUGUCUACGUUUAAUCAUUAAACCGUCAUUCAGUUAAAUAAUAAGUUCGUUAGAUAAAAAUUGAGCAACAUCAAACUGCUUUUAGAGUAACCAGCUUAAUAAAAAUGAGGUUGUUACAUAUUGGGGAUAUCAUGUUGUAAGUGUACAUUUUUUUUUUCACCAGGCACCAGGCAAUAUUUUAAGUUUUUUUUUUUUUUUUUUUUUGCAGCAGGCAAGAUUGGGGAUAUCAUUGUUUCACUUCUUGUGCCAAUUGGAUUUGAUAAAUUUUGUUGUUUAAAAAAACAAUAUAUUUCUAUUGAAUUUAUCAUUCAAAAAAGAGAUUAAAAAUCAUUCAAAAAAAAAAAACAAAUCAAUUGUUUAAAAAAAUUAAAAUAACUAACAAGAAAAUAUAAUAUAUUUGUAGGAAUCAAAAAUUUAUCAAACUGAAUUUAUUAUCAUAGUUUAAAUAUAUUUAAACACUUAUUUGGAUGAACUUAUACUUAUACAUAAGAAUAUAUAUUAUAUAUGUAUUUUAAUACGAUAAAUAUUUUCUUAUUUUAUUUUAACUAAAAUAUAUUUUUUUGCCCUUUGUAUUUUACUUAAAUAUUAACCUUGGCCUCUAAUUAUAGUAAUAAGUUUUUAAAAUUCGAAUACAAAAGUGCUUAAACUAUAGUGUUUUUACUACGCGGAAAAUAUGAUUUUACAACGUUUUUUUUAAGCAAUUUACAACGCUUUUUCAAAAGAAAAAGCGCUGUAAAACAUGUAAAUAUAUUGUGCGCUUGAUAUGCACAUUUUACAACGUUUUUUAAAUAAGCGCUGUAAAAUGCGCACACAUUAUAUGCAUUAUUAUGCACCUUUUACAACGCUUAUUGAAAAGAGCGCUGUAAAAUGUGCACUAUAAUGCAUAUAUUGGGUGCACAUUUUACAGCGCUUAUUAAAAAAAGGUUUUUGAUAUAUAUAUCCUAUUUUUUAUUUUUAAAAUAUCCUAGUUUGAAAUUUAUUUACGUGAAUGUCUUUUUUUUUAAGUAAGAAGUCCCUUUCUCAAGAAGCGAUCAACUGAAGGGAAAAGUUUCAAAAUGUAAUAGGAGGUCGCUUCCCUAGAGAACGAUAUGUAACUGCCCUUUUUAUUUUUUAUAUUUUAACAUUUGUUAUUAAUUUAGUUAUUUAAAAAUUAAAAAUACUAAUAAUAAAUUAUGUAUAAAUUUUAUAUUUUAAUUAUAAUAAUUAAUUAUAAUAAAUAAUUAUUAUAACUAUAAUUAAAAAUUAUUAAAUUUAUUGCAAAAAAUAAUAAUAACAAUUAAAUAAAAAUAAUAUUAUAUUAAUAACAUGAAAAUGAAACGAAAUACAUUAAAUUAACAAUAAAAAUACAUCAUAUUUGAGAAAAAAAAAAUCAAAUUUAUAUCAAUGAUGUCCACCUAAAUGAUCCUCAGUCAUGCAUCUAAGAUGUCGUCGAACUCAUCUAACUCUUUGAACAAGUUGCGGUUCUUCGGUUCAUCCUGAUUUUGAUAAUUUUCAUCAAUGUAUGUUGUAGGUGGAUUAGAAUCACUGCCACCUGCUUCCAUUAAAUUUUAAAAUUGAGGAUUAUACAUCGAAUUAAAUACAGCAUAAGCCGACUCAGAAAUUGUGCGUUAAGUUCCAAAAAAUUAUCGAGAAGCCCAUGUUCUUUCGGAUAACCGGUGAUUGAUAUUUCUGGCACUAACGAAAUGUAAUAUUGAGUCGGUGGUGGAUCAUAACAUGGAACUUCAGUAGCGAUGUGUAGGUGAGGUGAUGUUAAAGACAAUCCUCCUGUAUUUUGUUGUUUUGGGGUUGAUUGGGAGGUCAAUUGCACAUGAGGAUAUGACGGCGGUUGUAAAUGGGGAUCACACACAUAUUGUUCUACAAAUAUAAAUAAUUUUGUGUGUUGUCUAAACUAAAUCAUAUAUUAUGUGCUAUGACAUAAAACACCUUGUACGAUGUUACCUUGCAACACGAAAUUCUCACGCCUCAUGAUACAUUUUCAUGUCUUCUGGUGGUUGUGGUAUUUGUUGAUGGAAACCGAACUCGAGUUGACUAUAUUUGUAUGAUGUUUUUCAACAAUAUGAUAACAUAGUAAAUAAGUACAUGUAGUCCAAGUGAGCCUCUCUUAUUUAGAAACUUCAUGUUGGAAUCCGAGAUAAGGUCUCCAAUAAAAUAGAUAUGUAAAAAAUAAGUUAAAGUAAUUAUCAAGUAUAAAAGAUAAAAUAUUUGAAAAGUUUGAGUAAAUGUGAAUGGAUAUAUUACUUUCUCAACCAUCAUGUGAUCAAUUUUUUUCGGUAUCCUUCUACGUCAUUACGAAGAACUUUAGAGAAAUUUAAACCACUAGAAUUAAAUCUGUCGUAUAUAACAAAAAUAAAAAAUAUAAUAAAAUUAGUAAUAUGGUAAGCAAUUGGUUUUAAAAAAAGAAAAAAUAAUAUAAAAUAAUAUAAUUACCUUUGUGCAAGUAAAAAUAUCCAUGGUUUGAGAGAUUCAGGAGCGACACAAGACAAAAAAUACUAUGCCCAAUUUUGUAACAAUAAUGCACAUCCUCCCAUAGAUAUUACAUCGAUUUUCGUUGCAAGAUAUAAUUCUCUAUAAAAUGCAGCUAAAACUGUUGAACCCCAACUGUAUUGGGAUACUUUAUUUAAAUCUGCUAACAAUGAAAGAUAUUUGAGAAAUACACGGUUGUUGGAAUUGUCAAGCAUCAAUAACCCUUCAAUCAUAGAUAUGAUAUAUGCUUGACACGAUGCUUGUUUUUCUAAUUCAGAUGUAUCUUCAUCAACAUUGUCAAACGUAUCCUUGAGCCACUUUAAUUUAAUAGAAUUACCUUUUGUUGCUCCCUUAUGUGGGAUAACUCCUAAGUAAUCUUGACAAAAUUCUUUAACAUGCAUAAAAUUAGAACCGCUAACAGGUAAAUCAGAAACAUUUAAUCCUAAAAUGUAAUAUACAUCUUCCAAAGUUAUGUGAAGCUUAUGCUAUUGUGGAAGGUGAGACAAAAGAGGGUUGAAGUUUCUUUUUGAGAAAUUUGAGAAAAUAUGUCACUCCACAAGCCAACAUUUGUUUGAUUUCAAGUAGACACGAAUCCAUUAUGAGUGCUUAUAAUAAUCCGAAUAAUGGGUGACAAGAUCAUCCAUCAAAGCAUAUGUUCUGUGUCCGACAUAUUUCACAAAAUUUUGCAAAUGAAUUUAAGGACAAUGCUUGUAAGAAAAAAGUUAUUUCUAUGGGUAAUAGGUUCUUUCUUAAUUUUUAUAAUUAGUGUAAUUUUUAAUAAUUUUAUUAUUAAUUUAUAUAAUUGUCUACUGUUUCAAUACAAGUUACUCGAUCAAUGAGCCUACAUAUCGAUACUACUGCAGAGAAAUCGGCAUAGUAAACCCAGAUGCUUUGAAAUGAUUAGACAACAUACAUCGACAAGAUUGGAUUCAAGCAUUCGAUGGAGGUAGUCGUUGGAGUCAGAUGGCAACCAACAUUAUGGAAUGAUCAACGCAAUAUUAAAAGGCCCGCGCAACCUUCCCAUCACUGCUUUGGAAAUAAGUAAAUACAAUAGUCAUAGGGUGAAUAGAUUUGAUCGGAGCAACCAUACUUUCAUGGUCCACGAGACAAUAGUUUCAAGAGAAGGGCGACCAAUUGGCCAUUUCAAUGUAAACCUUUAUAACAAGUGGUGCAAUUGUGGAAAAUAUCAAGCUAAACAUAUGCGUUGUUCACAUAUGAUAGCAUCGUGUUCUAGCAUAAAAUAUAAUUAUUUGAGCCUUAUACCUGAUGUGUACAAGGUGGUAACGGUACUAAAAGUCUAUGAUGAAGUGUUCCAACCCAUACCAAACGAAGGAUAUUGACCACAAUAUGAAGGUCUUAAGGUGUGUCACAAUCCACUAAUGCGGAGAGUAAAAAAAUGUCGUUCAAAGAACAAACGCAUUAGAACAUAAAUGAACACUACAGAAAGAGUACCAAGAAAAUGCGGAUUAUGUCAGGUCUCUGGUCAUACUAGAAAACAUUGUUCAAACGAUACUCGUACAUCUACUCAAAUUUGAUGUAUUUUUUUUUUUUUGUUAAUUUUAAUGUAUUCUUUUUUGUUAAUUUUAAUGUAUUUUUUAAAAAUUUAUAAUAUAAUAUAAUUUAAUCAUUUUAAUUAUAAUAAUUUUUAAUUAUAAUUGUAAUAAUUAUUUAUUACUAUAAUAAUAAUAAUAAAAAUAUAAAAUUUAUUUAUAAUUUAUUAAUGUAUUUUAUUUUAAUUUUUAAAUAAUUAAAUUCAUAAAAAAUGUUAAAAUAUAAAAUAAAUAAAAAGGCAGGUCGUUCCCUGGGAAAGCGACUUCCUAUUACGUUUUGAAAUUUUUUCCUUCGGCUGGUCGCUUCCUCGUUAAACGAUUUCCUACUUUAAAAAAAAGUAGGACAAUUGCUUAAAUAAAUUUCAAACUAGGGUAUUUUGAAAAUAAAAAAAUAAAAAAUAAAAAAUGAAAUAUAUAUAUAUACACUUGAGAAUAAAAACAAGAAACGAGGUCUUAUAAUAUUGAGGUGGAUGUAGUACAUAUUUUCUUUCUCUCAAAUAUAUAAAUAAAAUUAUGCUUGUUGAUUUAAAUUCUAAAAUAUAAAUAAUUAUUAACUAUGUCUACCAUAUUUAAUGUUAUUAUACUUUGAUUAUCCUUUAAUUAAUUUUAAUUUUAUUUUUCAAUAACCCAUAUUUAAUGUUAUUAUUCUUUAAUUAUCUUUUAAUUAAUUUUCAUUUUAUUUUUUAAUAGUUGAUUUGUGUUCAUGGAACAAAUUUCCAUAAAGGAUAAUUUUUUUUAAAAAAAUUAUUUAUUAUUAUGGAAAUAUGAAAUUAAAUUAUUUAUUACUCCUUUAGUCUUAUAUAUAAGAAACAAACAAGAAUGACAAGGUGAAAUCAAUAUUUUUUUAUUAAAAAAAGAAUAUUCAUUCAUUCAAAUUGAUGAAAUACUGCGAUAUAAUAUAAUUUUAAAGUUGUCUAAAUAAAAAAUAAUGAAUCAGCGAACAAAAUUAUGGUACACAAAUUAAUAACACACGAACAACAUAAGACAAAGGACAACAUGCUUAGAUAUUUAAAAAAAAUUAAGUGUUUGAAAUAUUUAUAUCUACAAAUCUGUAACAUUGAUGACACUAAAGUUAUUGAUUGAAAUUUGUAAUAAAUUAAAAUUAUUCUAAACCAAAUGACGAACAAAAUAAUGUAUCACUCAGACGACGAAAUUAUAUAAUAAUGUAAAAAAAGAUGUUUAAACCAUUUAUUUUAAAUUAAAUGAGAAAAACAUAAUUUGUAAAGGUGAUUCUAAAUAAAAAAAUUGUCUUAAAUGACCCUCUCAAAUGAAUUGAGAAGAAGAUAAUGUAUGUUAUAUUGUAAGUGUUGCAGCUUUAGAGCAAGAUGUCCAACAUAAAUUUAUUAAAUAUUGUAAUAUUUACAGUGAAUGUAUAUUUUGUGUUAAGAAAAAUACUAACAUAUGUCUUUAGUACAAUAUUCAAGGAAACAAAAGAUGUAACUUUUGUAUAAAAAAUGAUGCAUUUGUUAUUUUUACAGAUGUUUAACUUGUAUUUUCUAAGAUAAAGUUUCUUUUAAGAUAAAAUUUCUUUUUAGAGUCUUUAUCUAAUGUCUUUAUAGCAUUUAUUGGUAAGAUCCUCAGUGUUAUCUUUGGACUUGUCUUUCAAAUUGAUUUAUUUUGGUCGAAGAAGGGGAGAGAAGAGAGAGGUUUUGGUGUAGGGAUAAUUUGUCUUUUUUGGAUUAAAGAAUUAAUUGGUUUGUAGGUUGAGCUAUUGAAUAUGGUGAUGAAGUUGAAGGGAUGAAAAUUGUGCUUUUGUAGAGUAUUCCUCCUAAUAAUUAGGAUUAUGAUUAAUUUAUUUUAAUUAAAAAAAUAAAUUUUUAUUAAUUUGGACAAAUUAAGACCUUAAAUUUAUUAAUUCAGACAAACUAAGAUUUCUUAAAUUUGUGUGAGGUCAAAAUGUUUAUACAAAGUGACACUUCGUAUGACUACGCUGCAUCAUAACAUCUCUUAACGCGAUUCUUCGUUAGUAUUAAUAAAUUAAUUUGACCUAAGGCUAACAUUGACCGUCAAAUUUCAAUAAAGAGAUUUUUUACUAUUAGGUGAAUUUGAGGUAUAAAUUUAGGGGAAGUAAGAUCCAAAAUAGAUGAUAGAUGGUUUUAUUCCAUCACUAUUGAUUUGAAUAGAAAAAAGAGAGAGAGAUCUAAGCAAACCAACCAUUGGGAAAUCAAGUAACAGGUCGUUUGCUGGCGGAUGAUGGAUGAAGUUCACGGGAGUACUAUACUCACAUGCCAAUUGGUCCAUUUCAUAAUCAAUUCAUCAAAUAUUUACUAUUGGCUACUUUAUUUUAUUUUUUUAUAUUGAUUCGCUUUCACUACCAUCCAAACUCAAAGACAGCUUGGUUGGUUCACAUGUUUUUACAUUAAAACUUGUGACAAUUUACCGUUUUACACUAUAAAUAACAGCACCAUUCACUCCUCCUUCACACAUUUACAUUUCUAAAAUUAACCAUUAUAUUUAAUCAUGAAUUCUUCUAGAUCUUCAAAUGUUGCUCUCUUUUCCAUCAUCAAUGUUAUGCUUUUUUUUGUUAUGGCAAAUGGUUGUUUUUUUUGUCCAAAACCAAAUCCAAAUCCUAACCAAUUUCCUUUCCCAAACACAAGUCCUUCCACAAAGAGUUGUCCUAGAGAUGCACUUCAAUUAGGAGUUUGUGCAAAUUUGCUUAAUGGGCCAAUUGGUGCAGUGAUUGGGUCACCACCAGAACAUCCAUGUUGUUCUGUUUUAGAAGGACUACUUGAUCUUGAAGUUGCUGUUUGUCUAUGCACUGCAAUCAAAGCUAACAUUCUUGGCAUUAAUAUUAAUAUUCCUAUUUCACUUAGUUUGAUCCUUAAUGCUUGUGAGAAGACUCCACCCUCUAAUUAUCAGUGCAUUUAAUUAAGUGUUACUUUUUGUACUUUAUAUUGUGGUUGAUGACUGAUGAAGUGUUGUUAGCUACUUUUGCUAAUUAAUUAAGUAACUCAUCAUUUACUGCGAAUGCAGUUGUACUUUGUAACUGUAAUUUCUACUUGUAAGUCUUGAAUGAAUUUCUAAUUUUUGAAAUUUUAUGGAAUGUUUCUAGUGUUUGGAACAUCAAUUCUAAUUCUAAAUAUUAACUCAUGUGAAUAGAAAUCAUAUUGUCACAAUCCAAGGAAUAACGGACCAUAAUUUUUUUUAUUUGGAAAUGAAUGGACCUUGAUCUGGAAUCUUUAGAGAUCUCUCAUAUCAUAAAGGUGUUUGUUUGAAUUCUAGAUUUAUUUAUGGGAAUCAUUUUCCAUGAUGAGAAAUUAAUAUAUGCAUAUUUCGAGGACUAAAGGGAACGUUAAAAUUUAAAAAAAAAAAAAAACUAAAACUAUAAACUUCUCCCACUAGAGUCCUAAAGGUUUUUACAAAGAUUUUAUUCUUUUCUAGAGAGCUAAAGCAAGGGUUUGAUAAUGUCAACUUCCUUGUGUGAUCAUCCCUUGAACAUAUCAAUAGCAUUUUGUUGCAAACAUGUGAAGCCUUGUAGAAUAAUUAAAAAGAGAAAAGGAGGUAAUGGAUCCCUUGUUUCAAACCUUUCACCAAUUGGGCCUUCGUUCUCCACAUGAGGAGCCUUAAGUCAGAAUUGAAAUUGGGCCUCCCCAAGUUUUGAUUAAUUCCAACUAAGUCUUGUGGGUCCCCAACAACAUUCUCCACAAUACCACUUCCCAUAAUUUGUCACUUUAACUCCUACCAACUCGUGCAUAAAUUCAUGUUCAUUGCUUGUUUUUUAUUGCUCUCUCCAUAAGUUAUUUUUGGUAUUCAAAGGCAGAGUAUAAUUUGAAGUGGUUUUUAUACAACUACAAUAGAGAGGUCUUAUUAACCAUUGGAUCACACUAUAUUCACCCAAUAGUUAUUCACUUAACCUAGAGUUAGUAUAAAACUAUAUUGCAUUGUCAUGAAUCAUCAUAAUGUUUGGUACGUCUACUUGUGUUCUUGUGUGUUUCUAGCUCUCUUCUCUUUUAUGGUUCAAUACUUCAUUUCCCACACAUGUAGUCGUUUUAGUUUUACGAACCUAGACACAUUGCUUUUGUUUAAUACUUCUUUCUUGUUUAUUAAUUAGUUUUCUAGCUAGCUUUGUUUUAAUUAUCAGAAAUAUCCGUUAAAACUCUAAUACACGUGACUUUAGAAAAUGUAUUUCUUCAUUAGUAUUUCACUCUUUUCUAUUUGGUUGGAAGUAUCUAUCAAUUUUAUUUUAUCGAUAACUACUAACCGACCAUCUUUUGUGGAAUAAGCCGUGUGAUUAUAUUUAAAACAUUUUCUUAUAUAUUAUGUGGUUAUUUUUUAGCAAGUUUGACCCUUUCAUAUCUACCUUGGUUGCAAAGAGGUUUUUGAAAAUCAAAUUUAUCCAUACCAUUUGCUAUGAUACUCAUGGCUCUUAUACCAUUUGUGAGAGAGUUUGGAUCUUUAUCAAAAAAUUUAAGAUAUAUAUAUAUAUAUAUAUAUAUAUUAUUUUUAUAUUUUAAUAUUUUACUCAUUCAUAAUCAAUAUAAAAUUUAAUCAUUCAUACUUAAAUCCAACACAUUCAUUUCUAAAUAUAAAUAAAAGUUACUCAAAAAAAUUAAUGUUAAUAAAUUUGAAUCAAAUAUAUAAAUUCUUUUAAAACAAAUUUUUGAAUAUUUUUUGGAGAGAAGUAAUUCUUAAUUUAAUUUCAUAAUAUACAUAUAUGCCAUAGUCACGGACUUCAUUGCAGCGUCUACAUGACUGUUUACUUUUCCUUUUAGUAUUUUAUAUAUUUUUUUCUAGAUAUUCGUUUUCCUCAUGUCGGGCACUGAAUCAAAAUUAACAAGACAAAAAACAAAAAAUAAAAGCAAAAAUAAUCAUUUCUCAACGAAAAAAAGAGCACUAGUUAUUAAUCUUUUUCCCCUAGCAAAUGGGAUACAUUUAUCAUGAGAAUCUGAGCAAGAUAAAUUAAACAAACACCAAAUCAAACGGAAUAACAAGAAGUUAACCAUCCAUGCACGUAUUCAAUGAAGAAGCAAACAAAUAAUUAAGAAGCAAAAUUAAAUAGGUUGAUAUAUAAUGUGCACUCGCCGCGCGUGCAUGACGAAUUUAAGGGCAUUGGAAGUCACGUGGAGCUUGUCUUGAACAAACAUUGAGAAGCAAGCUAAGUGAGAUAGGAAGGUUGAGAUUUAUCCCUAAAAUGUUAGCUUUAAGGGCAGUGCAAAGACAAACUGCAGCCUCUAGAUCAACUAGGCCUUGUAAGAGUGAGCAACAAGGGGUAACUGGUGGUUGACCUAAAGUUACAUUCAACAAUCCAUUUAGGACAUUGGCACAUACCCCAAGUUUUAGUGC